GCUUGGCAAUAGGCACUCCCACUUAUUUGAAUCUAGCUGAGUGAUGGCAGUAAACUAGAGGAGUCCAUUAAUAUGGCUUUUUUUUUUUGCUUUUCUUUCCUUUUUUUGAAUUAGUACCAAAGAUUCAAAGCAGAAGUUAUGGGAUUUUGUGUGUUAAAAAAUGGGAAGAACAACAUAAAGGUCUGCAUCUAAAGGGCACGACACUUCCAAAAUAAAAUCUUUUGGAUCACACAGAUUUCCUUGGGAAGGCAAAAAGCACAUGCUAAAAUCUUUCCCAUUUACAUCAGUGGGACUGAUCACUGAGUCAUGCCCAGUGCGGUUCAGGCCAAGGAGAGUGCAACAUAUGAAAACACCUCUUGCUAAUAAGUUAAAGAAGGUUCAUAAUUUUGUUUUUUUAAAGUAAUUGCCUUGUGAACAAGGAAACCUAAAAGUGUGCUUUAUGUAAAAGUUGUGUUGUUUUUUUUGUUGUUCUCUUCCAAGUUUCUGUUAGCAUCCUGCAUACUUGAAUACAUGGAUCACACCCACUGCAUGUAGAAAAUAGGUCAAGGAAAAGGCUAAAGGGAACACUUUCCCCUGCAGUACUCAGUUUCUUCAUGCAACCAUUAUUAUUAUUUAUUGCAUCAUGGGGGGAGUGGUCCCAAUAAGAUUUUCCUAGAUAUAUUCCUUGUUGUAAAUUAAAGCAUAGUUACUCAACAGAUGAAAAAAUAAGAUGUAUGUGAAAUGUGAAAUUUUGGAGAUAAAAUGCCUUAAACAGAAAGUAAAUUGGACAGUAAUUUGAAGCCAUAUGAAAAGAAACAUUUCUAAUCAUUUUUUGGAUGGGGUGGGGAAACUUUCUCAGUCCAAGGCAUGUGUUCCCUUCUGGGCAGACUUCCUGGGGACACAUUUCAGCAAUGGGCGGGGCCAGAGGUAAACGUGGGUGGAGCAACAAAGGGAAAUUUUAACUUGGAACAGUGGGCUAGUUCUUAUACACGCACACACCCAUUUCUACCCUCUGUCCAGGCCAGGGCCAGCCCCCUUGCUGCCACCCCACCACCAGUGCUGCAUCUCUUACCUGAGUUGUGCGGCAGUGUCCAUGAAGCACCAGCAACGGUGCUGGCUUCCGGCAAGAUCUCAUUGAACUCUCAUGAGAUCUUGUGUACAAGAUCUCACCAGAUCUCACCAGAUACUGGUACUGCUGUUGGCACCACUUUGCUGGUGGUGGGGCAGCCAGCAAAGUGGGUCCCUCCUCUUUGGCUUCCACUACUCAAGACGGGCACCUCACCUUGCCUCAUCAGUGGGCCAGGAGAUUGAUCCAGGCAAGCUUGGGCAGAAACAUUCAAGAGUUGUAGAGCAGGGUCAUCGAUGUGUGUGUGACUGUAGUGCGGCUGUGGUGUGAGGAGAAUCCAAAGGACCAGAUUGAGAGGCUUGGAGGGCCUGAGGCAUUUGUACCUCUGGCCCGAGGUCACCACCAUAUAGUUGGUGCCCAUAGUUGGAUGCCCAUAGUUGGAUGAUUUUGUAUGCAUGUGUGUUCUUUAAGUUGAUUUAGGGAAUAGUAUUUUAAAGCAAAUUGAAAGGCGAUACAAAUUUAAAACAACACUUAAAAGUGCUGAUUGUAUUUUUAUGGUGUGUGUGUGUGUGUGUGUGUGUGUGUGUGUGUGUGGUUUUGUCACAAUAUAAAUCAAACCUAAUCUAAUCUAUACUGCAGAAUAAUUACUAACAUGCUCUCAAACUUAAUUCACAACAAGCUUCUUUGGUGUGUUUCCUCUCCUAAGAAGAGUUAUGUUGACAGCUCCAGUCUGGUGACUCUUAAAUGUGUAACUGGAUUGGAAAUAGUAUUUGAGGCACGGUUAAAGAUCCAUUUGGGCUGCUGCAAAGUUCUUUAUCCCAUGCAUUUCAGUGUCCUGCUUUUGUUAGAAGUUAAUGCCGGCAGACCUCCACUUGCAUCAUUAGUGCCAUACGCACCUGACAAUCUUUUGACAGUUUAAAAAGAGCUGAAACAAAAGUUGUUUUGAUGGCCUAAACCCCACACCAUCUCCCUCCCCUGCUUGGUAUCACAAUAGAUCACUGGCCGUUUGUGACAAGUGACACACUCAUUGUUUGAGAGGUUUUUAAUUAAGCUGUUUAACAUGGAGUGCACAGUGUACUGAUGUGGCACAGAGCACAUGUCACUGAAAGCCAUGUGAUGAUGAUUAAAGCAAGCUUUAAAAGAUAAAGAUUGGAGGGUGUUUUUAGGAUUAGGAUGAAUCUAUCAAUUUCAGUUUCUCUGUCUUUCUAGUUUUUGAAGUCUUAAAUUCCGUUCUCCACAUUUCAACAACCUUUUGCAUUUUUUUUAAAGGCUCUAUGAAAAUUUAUCAUUAUUUUAGAGUUAAUUUCUCCUGAUUCAUUUUUGCAAAGCAAUUUCCCUUAAUAUAAUAUAUUAUUGUAUGUAAUUUUCAGUGAUAUGUGCAUUUAUAUUAAAAAUAUACCCUAGUAUAUGCAUUUUUUUACUUGGCUGAAGAACUGCCUUGAAAAAUGAGGGGAAAUGUGAAUUUCAAAGGGUGACUGUGUUUCAGUCUAUGUAGCAUUUUGAGAAGUAUGAAUUAUGUGGUUUUUUGCCUUUAACUGCAAACUGAAUCAAUUUCCCCCCACCUUUAUUUGCAAACCACCAUUUUCAGUGUCCCAGAUGUAGUAUUGCUUCAGUUCAAAACAAGAGAGAUAUUGUUAAAUCAGCGAAACAUUAAUAUAAUAACAUAACAUAAAUCAGCGAAAAACAAAACAAAAAAAACCUUUAUAAAAACUGUUACAUCUGAGUAGCCUGGCAUUAUUUUUCUUCAGAUCUAUCAGUUUUAUGCCCAUGAAGAUGUAUGCAAAUGAAAUCAAUUGACUAAAACUCAUCCGAUUACACAACUACAGUUUCUUUCAGCAGGUAAUAAUUCUAAUUAAAACUCGUAUGAUUAUUUGACAAAGAUUCAUUUAAUUGAGUGGUGGCCUUAACAAGAAGAGGUCUGCAUAAAUGAGGAAGUGUAUUUAUGUGGUGUCAUGCAAAGCAUCAGUUAUAUGGAAGACUACAUAGUUGAUACUUAGUUUGGAUUACUGAAGUUUGGGUGAUGGCAGUUAAACUGAUAUAUGCAUAAGAGGGUAAACAGAAGACUAUGAAUAAUUUUAUUUAUAAUUUUAUCAUUGGAGUGAGUCUGUGCUGGAAUACAGGAGAGCAAAACAUAUUGGCAAGAGCAGAAAGACUAGUCUUUUGCAUAGAUCACAUUAGCUUUAUUUUGCCCUUAAGGAAAAAUCCUAUACACGUCUAUGAAAAUGACAACUGUUCUAUAUUUGCUUUUGGAUUGAUCUAUAAUGUAAUAGAGUUAUUAUAUUCAUGCUGUGAAAUUCUUUAACCUAGCUGAAAGAACUAAACUAAAAUACAGAGAGGCUACCAUUCUCUAUUCUAUUACAUUGGCUUAUAGAGUUAAUUCUUAUCCAGGUUUUGAAUUUUAUAAAAUGUUUUCAUGAAAGUGACAUUAAAUAGUUUAACACACUGGGAAACAAAACAAAGCCCCAACACAUUAAAUGUAGCGGGAACAGGAGCUUUUGGUUUAGAAAUAAUGAGAAACAUAUCUGCUCUGCUUUGAAAAGAAUAAGAGCUUUCAAACACCAGGUUUGAAAGGAGUAGUGUCUCACCAGAAUAAGUAAAAACAGACAAAAAAUUCAAAUGGAUUGCAAUUCCUUAUUCGGGUUUGACUUCAUACAGCACUUCGAGUUCAGCAGUUACCCACCUCCUUCCUCAGUCAGUCACUCUAUUAUAACCACUCUCCCCACCCCCCAAAAAGCAGAUCUCUUGUCAUACAACAAAUUUAGGAGCAAAUAAAAGUCUCCUCUGAAUUUUAAUUGGACAAUAUUUUGCAGGUCACAAUAUUUUGUCUAGACACAACGUGGUCAUCUUGUUCCAUGGCUUCUUGCAUGGACCAAGAUGCUGGGAGUGGGUGUUGGCUAAGGGGAAAACUGAGCAAACAAACAGCCAGCUCCUAUGACUGAAUGUAUUUAAGCAAUUCUUCUUUUGAAACUGUUCAUUUACCCCCGAAGUAUGUACCCUUGGACUUGAAAUGUACACCUGUUGCUAAACAUUAUGAUAGAGAUUCUGCUUUGGUUUUUGUUUUGUUUUAAACAUUUCUUUUUCAUUUUGAUUAAUUCCUUUUGAAAUUAAAUUUGCAUUUAAUUUUUGCAAAUUAAAAUAUAAUAAUGAACUGUGCAACAGUGUGCACAUUUUGACCCAGUGCGCAGCAGCUUUAGAAAAGCUGCAUUCCGUUUUAGGGAUAAUUAGGAAAUGGGUUGAAAACACCACUUUGACUAUCACUGCAACAUGAACCACGCAAAUGGUUUUUUAAAGGGAAUGGGGCUUGGGGAGCUGGGUGGGUAAACCAAGAUGCUGGAGAAGAAUUUGGGGCCUUGUUAAUGAGCCCCCAUGGCCUUAUUAAGAACUCCAGGAGUUCAUGUCCAGGUUAGCCUGGUGAGCUUCAUUGCUAUCUCUAUAUCUUUUGUGCAAGUACUAGGUUUAAUGUGUAUGGCAGCCGAACAGCUGGGACAGCAGCAUGGGAUCUUGGGGUUUUAAAAGCUGUGCAACUGAGUUUUAGGGUUAUGAAAUCCCAGCAUACAGAGUCUGUUGUGCUGGGGUAGCUCUAUGCUGUAGAGCAGGCUGCAGCAAGCAAUCUUUUCACAGGGUUCUGUUUACAACUGAUGUGGGAAACCUUUGGCACUCCAGAUACAGUGGUACCUCAGGUCGCAAACACCGCUAACCUGGAAGUAGUACCUCGGAUUAAGAACUUUGCCACAGGAUGAGAACAGAAAUCGUGCAGGGGCAGCGGGAGGCCCCAUUAGCUAAAGUGGUACCUAAGGUUAAGAACGGUUUCAGGUUAAGAACAGACCUCUGGAAUGAAUUAAGUUCGUAACCAGAGGUACCACUGUAUUGCUGAACUACAGCACCCAUCAGCCCCAGCAAGCAUGGUGAAUGGCCAGGAAAGAGGGGAGCUGUAGUUCAGUAACAAUUACAGUUGUAAACUCCUUAAAGCCAUUUUGGCAUAUAAGCAGGAUAUACAUUAAUAAACCUGGAGGGCCAAAGAUUUCCCACAUCUGGGUCACACCAUCAGUGAACAAUGUGCAAGCAUGUGUGAAUAAGCCCUAAUUUUACAUACUGGCCAAUGCCAACCUAAUGGGGUGUUGGGGGUUGACACAGCAGCCUUUCUGAUUAUCCCAUUUGGAGAAAUGUUUUUUUUUGUUGUUGCUGUUGUUUGCCCAGCAAGUAUUUUCAUUGGGGUGAUAAUGUCACUGAAAGAUCCAAUUUCACCCCAUAAAUUAUUUCUGAUUGCCACUGUCCUGUUAGGGACUCAACAGCAAGCUUGUGAGAUACCAUAAAUGUUGCAGAGAAUAACAUAAUUUAGGGAACAGGAGAAAUGGUUGCCACUAUCACAUUAGUUUCCUGCAAUGGCAGUGACUUUAAUCUUGACUUUGUAAGUCUCCUUAUUCAGAUACAAUUAUAAUUAGUUACCAUAGGAAGGAAAGCAAUGCAGAUAAACAAUCAUAACUUGCUGUGUAAAUGGUAUUGGUUUUAAAAGUAGACCUGAAUGGACACUGUCUUCCCAAAUGAUCACACAUACUAUUUUUCAUUGCGACUUCAAAAUAGCACCUUGUUCUUACAGCUUUUUUGAAUGGGCUCUGUCAUUCUCAACUGGCUGCGUUAGAGUUGUAUUUGGAGCCAACAUUUUGCACCAAACACUCCAUUCUGCACUGCUGUGGAAUUAAUUGUGGUAUUCACACAGCCCUGAGCAUAGUGAGGUCAAGGUGUUCUAGGCUGGAUUAAAAAAAGGAGAAAGGAUUCAAAGUAGAAAGAAAAAUAGACAGAAGCUGUGUCCUGCACACCCUUGUGUGAGUGUUUGCUCAGUGUCAUGAAGGGCAGGUUCUGUAGCAAGUUCUCAUGUUUCUGCUUGUGCAAGUAAUUGCACAAGUGAAAGAACACAGUUUGAUGCAGUGCCAACUUUUUUGCAUAAUGCUGUAACCAUUCUUCUAUCCUCCUGCAUGUGAGAGGUUAAUCUUUUUUGAUCCAGUCUUUUGCAUUGUGUAUAGCUGGUCAUGCGAAGCACUCUGCCUACAUGGGACUAUUGGGCUUUUGAACUGAGAGCAACAGACAGGAGGAAGGACAUGGUCUCUUCCUGGCUCUAAGCUCCCUGCUCUGUUUCAUAAAGAUUUAUACAUUUAUAGAGAAAAAGCGGAAUCUCCCUACCUCAGUUUGUGCACAGCCACAUUCUUUAUUGUGGCUGGUGUCACCCACACAAUUUAAGUUGUUGACCAGAGAUAUAUGGACAGUUUUGGCAUCAGUCCCGAUUGCACUUUAUAUGAUAGGCCAUAAUUGGAGUGCCUGGGUUCAUUUGGAACAAGAGGUUUUAAAAUAAUAAAAAUAAAAAUGCAUUAGUUUGCUGUGAAGAGCAAAGCAGUAAGUAUCUCAGGAUUUGAUAAAAAAAUUCCCCCAUUUACAAUGCUUUAAACAUUUUGUAAGAAACUGUAAACUAUUUAACUGUGAUGAGAUUACAGCUUCCACUUCAAGCUAGAACUAUGCUUGCAGAAACUUCCCCAUGUUUAUUAGUCUACACAUGGAGUCCAGGCUCUACACUAGAGUAAAUGCAUAGAGGCAACCAGGUGCAUAGUAUCAUAGGCCACACCCACACCAUGCAUACAAAGUGCAUUUAAAGGACACGGCUUCACCCAAAGAAUCCUGGGAAGUGUAGUUUAUCGCUUGUAGAACUACAGUUCCCAGCACCCCUAACAGACUACAUUUCCUAGGGUUAAUUAGGAGAAGCCAUGUGCUUUAAAUACACUUUAAAUGUAUGCUGUGGCUGUGACCAUAGUGUGCACCAAUUUGAAGGGGGUUCUCCUCUUUCUUCUCCAGAGCCUUCUGGAUAUCUGAACAACACAAAAUUGCUGGGUGGUUAUAUCCCCAAGCUUAUUAUCCAACAAUGGCAAAAACCCUGAGUAAAAACAACACCUGCGUUUGUAUGGGAAGAGGGGUUCUUACGUACAGAAAGAAUGUUAAAAUGUGACAGCCAAGUCACCUUAGAAUUUGACUUCAGAUGCCGACAAGAAAGCUGCAUCGUUUGCUGGGGCAGAUUGACAACUAUUGCAGUGCUGGGCUGAAAUCACCCAUGUUAUUUCCUGUAGGAUCAGUUGGGUAAUGGUGCACAAACUCUGCAAAUAUCAGGCUAAUUUUGCAAAGUUGCCCCUUUGAGUUGCGAACACUUUAACUCAAAGCCAGUGCUUAUAAGAAUGCACAAAAGGUAGAAUGAGGUGGGUGGGCUCACUCUGUACGGAGGUCAAGUUGUUAAUCUGCCCUCAACAGUGGUUCUUGCUUCUUCUGCCCUGUCUUUGGAAUCUUUAAUUUUUCUCUUGAAAAUCCAAUGUGCUUAUUUCCCACCUUCCUCUCUCUCUCUUUAAUUGCAGCAACAAGGAGCAGCCACGACUGUCUACUGUGCUGUUGCCCCAGAACUGGAAGGCCUGGGAGGGAUGUACUUCAACAACUGCUGCCGUUGCCUGCCAUCGCAAGAGGCGCAGAAUGAAAUGACUGCAGCAGCCUUGUGGGAGCUGAGCGAGAAGCUGAUCCAAGAACGAAUUGGCAGGCAGGGCAAGUAGUGGGCAGCUCCUGGAAAGAUUAAAACCCAAGCAGAGAGAGAGAGAGAUGCUGGGGGGGGGGGGACUGCCAGUGCUGGAAUCUUUCCAAUCCUAUCAUCUAGAAGGUUACAAAUACAGAUUAGCUAGUGUUAAACGAAAUGAUAGCCAUCAUGACAUUGUGAAAAGCAUUAAAGACAGGAGGGAGAUGGCCAACAAGGCAGGGUUAUUGGACAAUAUAAUUUCCCCAGGCUUAGUUCGGCCUCUUUGAUUAUGUUCUGCCAUUUCUUUUUUAAUUAUACUCUUUGCUCAAAAUGUGUCCCAGAGAAAAGCCAGAGAACCAUUUCCCAUGCUGUUUUUCUUUUAAGCUGGGCAGCACAUUGCAUUUUUUAGGCGUGUGCCGCCCUCUCUCUUUUCAGCAUACACCUAGAAAAGUAGCAUGUGAACAUGCUCAGCUUGUGUUUCCUACAGGGAUGCCCUCACAAGGGAGUUGUCUGCUUCUUGCUGCAUGUACAGUUUGGCAGGCGAAGCAGGGGGCUGCCUCUCUGAAAUCGAAAUGAUGUUUGGGUUUCCCCCAUCCAUUUGCGAACAGCACCCAGUGAACUUCAUGGGAUUUUAGUUUGCAAUUAGGGCUUACUCUCCGAGGAGGGCAUCCUCUUUGCCAGUCUCACGUCUGGCUUGUUAACAUUUUGUAAAACAACCCAAAAUCUUAAAUAACCAAGAAAACUCCUUGGCUGCAAAUAAGAACGAGCUUGCCUAAAAAGAGAAGGUGCCCCGAAGUCCAGGUUGCUCCCCUUCUAAUUAAAUAUAUUGCAGGAUAUCCAUAAAAUAUGAUAUUAAAAGAUACAUUUGCAAACCAUUCUCUAAAUACUGUGGGGGGGGGGUAAUGUCUCUUUACAAACACACAGGGUGUGACCAACUGGAGGGACUGAAAGGUUUUUUUCCAUCCAUAUCUCAGAUCAGAGUUUUAAGGAGGGUUGGCGUAUACCAACUAUUGCCAGUGUCUCAGUUCUCCCAGCACCAUGCUCUGUUCAGUAUUUCCCCCCCAAUUUAAAUGUAAUAAAAGAACAUGCUUGAAUAUUGUCACCUGAAGAGCAAGUCUCGUUCCUGUGAAUGUCUUUAGUUCCUUUUGCUUUUUUUUUUUAAGAAAAGAAAACUUGAGGAAAAAUAAAGAACUCUUCAAUGCCAUGAAAAUGCCAUUUUUGUUCUUGUUUCAUUCCGAGUUCAUUUGUCUGUGGGGAUUUUUUAAAUUUUUCUUCUUUUUGUGCUUUGUAGCUUAUCUUCAUGCCAGAAAUUGUUGUAAGCCAUCUGCAACCCAGCAUCAGGUUUUCUGUAAACAAAUAAACACAAAAUGGUUACUUGA